rnacentral:rRNA from 1 species
GUGGGGAAUCUUCCGCAAUGGACGAGAGUCUGACGGAGCAACGCCGCGUGAGUGAAGAAGGUUUUCGGAUCGUAAAGCUCUUUCGUUAGGGACGAACGUGCUCUUUGUGAAUAAUGAGGAGUAAUGACGGUACCUAAAUAAGAAGCCACGGCUAACUACGUGCCAGCAGCCGCGGUAAUACGUAGGUGGCAAGCGUUGUCCGGAAUUAUUGGGCGUAAAGCGCGCGCAGGCGGGAUAUCAAGUCUGUCUUAAAAGUGCGAGGCUCAACCUCGUGAGGGGACAGAAACUGGUAUUCUUGAGUGUCGGAGAGGAAAGUGGAAUUCCAAGUGUAGCGGUGAAAUGCGUAGAGAUUUGGAAGAACACCAGUGGCGAAGGCGACUUUCUGGACGAUGUCUGACGCUGAGGCGCGAAAGCUAGGGGAGCGAACGGGAUUAGAUACCCCUGUAGUCC